GGGGGGCGGGGCGUCGCGGGCACAGCGUGAGGGCCGCCGUUGCUGGAGUUCAGCUUAGGGAAGGAGGACUCUGAGGAGGCCCCGAGCGGCGGAGCGCUUCGGGGGAGGCGCCCGCGCAGACGCGAGGCCCAUAGCCAGGACCACCACCUAGCUGAUUCUUGAUGACAUUGGUCGGGAAAACUCGCCUUUCACGGCCCGGCCAAGGGGCAUUUGGGUGCUUUUGCUGCCCGUGGCUGUGCUCAGCGUUGUGGGAAGCCCCUGGGAGGCCGAAUGUGCAGGAUCACCGAGGGGAAAGUGAGCUUGACAGUCUGGGGACGACGGUUUAAAAAUUUAUGCCUUGCAUGCGAUGUGCAGUGGGUGAUGGAAGAACGUCUACAUGGCUUUAAAAUUGGAUUUAAAAGGCAAAUAUUUUAAAUGAAGGAAAACCCAAGAAGUUUACUUGAUUCCUUAUCUUCCAGGAUGCGACUUUUGUUUAUUUAUUUAUUUUAUUUUGAUGGAGUCUCGCUGCCGUCGCGCAGGCUGGAGUGCAGUGACGCGAUCUUGACCCGGGAACCUCCACCUCCCGGGUUCAAGCGAUUCUCCUUCCUCAACCACCCGAGUAGCUGGGAUUACAGGCGUGUGCCACCAUGCCCGGCUAAUUUUUGUGUUUUUAGUAGAGACCGGGGAAGGUAUGGGCCCUCUUUUGAGAAAAAUGCAGAGUGACACUGAAUUUUGUAACUACAUCAGGAGGCUCUUGAACCUUCUGCAGCUCACUCGUGGAGUUUGUAGAGAUGCGUAAUAAUCCGAAGUGUUAAGGAAGAAGGUUCUGUUGAGAAAAAGUUGGAGGGCUGAAAGGGAUGCCUUUCGCUAUUUCGACAUGUGUGGCUGUACCCCAGAGUGCCCUGGCUAACACGCAAAACCAUGAAUUAGGCGGCUUGGCGAGGCUCAGUGGAGGCUGGGGCCGAGAGUCAUGUCAAAGUUUGUGGGGUUAACCUGCACCCAGUGACAGUCAUGGCGAAGUUUGUGAGGUUAACUCGCACCCAGUAACGCUGUUCCAAUGCAAGGUGUGUAUUUGGUGUCAUCCACGGGAAGAGGAAACAGCAAAUUUUCUCAUGGCCUUGGCAGUUCCACAUGAUGGACAUUUCAUAUCUGCAGUUUUCUUCGCAUGAGAUGGCUUUUUUGCACAAAAACACUGGAAUCCAGUGAGCAAGAAUGAUAGAAUGCAAGAUGGAUUUCCACAUGAGGAAGUGUCACGAACAAGCGUUUUGCAUCUCUGUCAGCUGGAUUCCCCCAUGUGUACGUAUGUGAGAACAUGCCGUGUUUCCUGUCUGUAAUGGUAGAGGCAGCCCUGAUACUGGAUUUUCACCUGAGGAUGGAUAGAUCUUCAGGGUUCAAGUGGGUUUGCAUCUGGACUUUAGGGUGGCCCUGUAGGCCCUGUGUGAGAAGCCCCCUUCCCAGUGAACUUUCCCUUGUGUGCCCGCGUGGACAGCCAACAGGGGGAGCAGUGCGAGCGUGAAGGCAGACAGUGGCCUGGCCCAGUCUGAUGGGAGAGACCCACCGACCCUGUGGGGCUGGUCCCUACAUCUGGCGCUCUGACGUGGGGCUCUCCCUCGCUGUGUGAAGUUGCACCCUGAGUGCGGGAUCAGCGGAGGAGUUCAACGAGAGAUUCCUGAGGAUUGCAGUCUAUAAACUUGGUGGAAAAGAACUACAGCCUGUGUGGGUCCCCUCCCGACAAUUAAAAUUGCACCAUAACUCCAAAGAUGAAACGCUCCCAGAAAGAAAAGGCAAAGACCCAUCGGAAACAAAAGAGCAACUUUCACCGCCUGAUACAUACACUUCAUGACAUCCACAUUGAGACAAAAUCUCGCCGUGUGACCUACAACACCUCUCGUUCAACCCCACCUACUUGGGGUCGAAUACAGAUUUUAUCUCAUCAAACAGAAAAAUUCUUAACAGAAAAAGGAAUCCCAAAAAUGACUGGUAAUAUAAUUCUGGCUGCCUUUAUGGUAGUCAGUGCAGCGGUAAGUAUACCACCGGUCGGGGCAACUCAAAAUUAUACUUAUUGGGCAUAUGUUCCUUUUCCCCUUCUAAUUCGGUCUGUCUCCUGGAGGGACUCUCCAGUAGAAGUUUACACUAAUAAUAGUGCAUUCAUGCCGAUCCCUAAUGAUGAUCGGUUUCCAGCUCAACCGGAAGAAGAAGGUAUGCACUUUAAUCUGUCAAUUGGCUAUAAAUAUCCACCAUUAUGUAUUGGGAAGUCGCCUGGUUGUUUAGCUUAUUCUUAACAGAAUUGGAUGUGGACUGUACCGUCCUUUACAAAUGAUUCUUAUCAAGUAUAUAAUGUGUUCAGUACUAACUCUUUUCAACUUCUCACUGUCAAACGUACCCCACAUGAGGCAUGGAGAGUUCCUCUCACUACCAAAACUAAUAAAACAAAAGGACUGCCGGACUGUCCAAAGAAACCUACAAAUGGGCCUUUUAUAGUGACUUCAAUUUUAUGGGAUAAUUGUAAUGCUCCCAAGGCUGUUGUACUCCAAACUCUAGCCAUGGGUAUUGUUAUUGAUUGGGCUCCAAAAGGACAUUAUUGGCAAGAUUGCUCCAGCAAAAAUACCUUAUGCUCGGAGUUUAUUUAUUCCUUAGAUUAUAUAGAGCAUGGGUGGCAGUCUUACACGAUGAGACAACGGGUGUCUCCUUACCCAUUUAAAUGGAUGGACACAGGUAUUGCUCCUCCUAGACCAAAAAUUAUUCAUCCCUUUUUUACCCCAGAACAUCCUGAACUAUGGAAAUUAGCUGCAGCUUUGUCGGGAAUAAAGAUAUGGAACACUACCUAUCAGCUCCUUCGUACUAAAACCAAAACACCCACAUUCAACAUCACCCUUAUUUCUGAAUGGGUGAUACCCAUUAGGAGCUGUGUCAAACCCCCUUACAUGCUGUUGGUUGGAAAUAUAAUUAUGAUGCCUGAUGCACAAACUAUAGAAUGUCAUAACUGUAAGCUGUUCACUUGCAUUGAUGCAACUUUUAAUCCCACUACAAGUAUUCUCUUGGUAAGGGCUAGGGAGGGGGUAUGGAUACCAGUUUCUCUACAUCGUCCAUGGGAGUCUUCCCCCUCUAUUCACAUAGUCAAUGAAGUUCUUAAAGACAUCCUCAAAAGAACAAAGAGAUUUAUUUUUACUCUUAUUGCAGUCCUUGCAGGACUACUUGCGGUUACUGCAACAGCAGCAACUGCUGGAGUUGCCAUCCGCAGUUCUGUUCAAACUGCUCACUAUGUUGAAGCAUGCCAGAAAAAUUCCUCCAGACUUUGGAAUUCUCAGGCGCAAAUUGAUCAAAAAUUAGCUAAUCAGAUUAAUGAUCUCCGCCAAAGUGUAACCUGGCUGGGAGAUAGAGUUAUGAACUUGCAACACCGUAUGCAAUUACAGUGUGAUUGGAAUACUUCUGAUUAUUGCAUAACGCCUUAUGCUUAUAAUCAAGAUCAACAUAGCUGGGAAAAUGUCUCAAGACAUUUAAAAGCCUGGGAUGAUAACUUAACCUUGGAUAUUUCACAACUUAAAGAGCAAAUCUUUGAGGCUUCACAAGCCCAUUUAUCCACAGUUCCUGGCUCACACAUUUUUGAAGGCAUAACUAAACAAUUACCUGAUUUUAAUCCCUUCAAAUGGCUCAAACCCGUCAGAGGAUCAUUGUUGUUACUGGCAUUAUUAAUAUUGGUAUGCUUAUGUUGUCUCCUUUUAGUCUGCAGAUGCCUCUAAGGAGUCCGAAACCAAGUCCGAAGUCAACAACAAGCAAUGAUGGCGAUGGCGAUUCUAGUUAAUAAAAAGGGGGGAGAUGUGGGCGGCAAGCCACCCAGGCACCGAGGCAAGAGACAGAGGACACGAGCUGUUCCAGUAUAAUAAAAUAUAAAACAAGAAUAGUUAUACCAGAUAUAGAUCUUAGAUAUGAUUAUAUACGAAUAUCAUUAAUCAUGAGUUUGUAGCAAUUACUUUUUAUUCCAAUAUUAUGAUAAUCCUCGCUCUAUAAUCAUAGCCUAGGAAAAACCAGGCCAUACAGAGAUAGGAGCUGAGGGGACAUAGUGAAGUGUGACCAGAAGACAAGAGUGCGAGCCUUCUGUUAUGCCCGGACAGGGCCACCAGAGGGCUCCUUGGUCUAGCGGUGACGCCAGCGUCUGGGAAGACACCCGUUACCAGGCGGAUCGUGGCCCAGCCGUAGCAAAAGGUGUCAAGGAACACCUUUUGCAAAAGGUGUCAACACCCGCUACUUAGCAGACUGGGAAAGGGGGGCGGUCUCCCUUUCCCCGGGGGAGUUUAGAGAAGACUCUGUUCCUCCACCUCUUGUGGAGGGCCUGACAUCAGUCAGGCUUGCCCGUAGUUAUCCGGAGGCCUAACUGUCUCCCUGUGAUGCUGUGCUUCAGUGGUCACGCUCCUAGUCUGCCUUCAUUUUCCAUCCUGUACACCUGGCUCUGCCUUCUAGAUAGCAGUAGUAAAUUAGUGAAAAUACUAAUAGUCCCUGAUAUGCAGAAAUAAUGGCAUAAGCUGUCUUUCUCUCUGUCUCCUCUCCCUCUCUGCCUCGGCUGCCAGGCAGGGAAGGGCCCCCUGUCCAGUGGACACAUGACCCAUGUGACCUUACCUAUCAUUGGAGGUGACUCACAUUCUUUACCCUGCCCCUUCUGCCUUGUAUCCAAUAACAGCGCAGUCAGACAUUCAGGGCCACUACCGGUCUCCGCACAUUGGUGGUAGUGGUCCCCCGGGCCCAGCUGCCUUU
rnacentral:lncRNA from 1 species